CAAGUGGAUCAAGGCAGUGGAAUGUGA
rnacentral:tRNA from 2 species